GUGAAAGAUUCUGCAUGUGUCUGGUCUACUGCUUCUUCACUUCUUUAUACUUCAGUUCAAGGAUUUCCCACUACUUUUGCUGCCAAGCUCCUGGAGAGAG